rnacentral:rRNA from 1 species
AGUCGAACGAUGAUCCGGUGCUUGCGCCGGGGAUUAGUGGCGAACGGGUGAGUAACACGUGAGUAACCUGCCCUUGACUCUGGGAUAAGCCUGGGAAACUGGGUCUAAUACCGGAUAUGACUGCUCCGCGCAUGCGGUGGUGGUGGAAAGCUUUUGCGGAUUUGGAUGGACUCGCGGCCUAUCAGCUUGUUGGUGGGGUAAUGGCCUACCAAGGCGACGACGGGUAGCCGGCCUGAGAGGGUGACCGGCCACACUGGGACUGAGACACGGCCCAGACUCCUACGGGAGGCAGCAGUGGGGAAUAUUGCACAAUGGGCGGAAGCCUGAUGCAGCGACGCCGCGUGAGGGAUGACGGCAUUCGGGUUGUAAACCUCUUUCAGUAGGGAAGAAGCGAAAGUGACGGUACCUGCAGAAGAAGCGCCGGCUAACUACGUGCCAGCAGCCGCGGUAAUACGUAGGGCGCAAGCGUUAUCCGGAAUUAUUGGGCGUAAAGAGCUCGUAGGCGGUUUGUCGCGUCUGCUGUGAAAGACCGGGGCUCAACUCCGGUUCUGCAGUGGGUACGGGCAGACUAGAGUGAUGUAGGGGAGACUGGAAUUCCUGGUGUAGCGGUGAAAUGCGCAGAUAUCAGGAGGAACACCGAUGGCGAAGGCAGGUCUCUGGGCAUUAACUGACGCUGAGGAGCGAAAGCAUGGGGAGCGAACAGGAUUAGAUACCCUGGUAGUCCAUGCCGUAAACGUUGGGCACUAGGUGUGGGGGACAUUCCACGUUUUCCGCGCCGUAGCUAACGCAUUAAGUGCCCCGCCUGGGGAGUACGGCCGCAAGGCUAAAACUCAAAGGAAUUGACGGGGGCCCGCACAAGCGGCGGAGCAUGCGGAUUAAUUCGAUGCAACGCGAAGAACCUUACCAAGGCUUGACAUGAACCGGUAACGCCUGGAAACAGGUGCCCCGCUUGCGGUCGGUUUACAGGUGGUGCAUGGUUGUCGUCAGCUCGUGUCGUGAGAUGUUGGGUUAAGUCCCGCAACGAGCGCAACCCUCGUUCUAUGUUGCCAGCGCGUUCGGCCGGGGACUCAUAGGAGACUGCCGGGGUCAACUCGGAGGAAGGUGGGGACGACGUCAAAUCAUCAUGCCCCUUAUGUCUUGGGCUUCACGCAUGCUACAAUGGCCGGUACAAAGGGUUGCGAUACUGUGAGGUGGAGCUAAUCCCAAAAAGCCGGUCUCAGUUCGGAUUGGGGUCUGCAACUCGACCCCAUGAAGUCGGAGUCGCUAGUAAUCGCAGAUCAGCAACGCUGCGGUGAAUACGUUCCCG